rnacentral:rRNA from 1 species
AUUGAACGCUGGCGGCAGGCCUAACACAUUCAAGUCGAGCGAGCGGCGGACGGGUGAGUAAUGUAUGGGGACUGCCCGAUAGAGGGGGAUCACUACUGGAAACGGUGGCUAAUACCGCAUACUAUCGGAUAACCCAUAUGGGAUUAGCUAGUAGGUGGGGUAAAGGCUCACCGAGGCGACGCUCUCUAGCUGGUCUGAGAGGAUGAUCAGCAACACCAGGACUGAGACACGGCCCAGACUCCUACGGAGGCAGCGGGGGGGAAUAUUGCACAAUGGGCGCAAGCCUGAAUCAGCCAUGCCGCGUGUAUGAAGAAGGCCUUCGGGUUGUAAAGUACUUUCGGUAUCGAGGCGUUAACUACAGAAGAAGCACCGGCUAACUCCGUGCCAGCAGCCGCGGUAAUUC